GAUGAACGCUGGCGGCGUGCCUAAUACAUGCAAGUCGAGCGAACAGACGAGGAGCUUGCUCCUCUGACGUUAGUGGCGGACGGGUGAGUAACACGUGGAUAACCUACCUAUAAGACUGGGAUAACUUCGGGAAACCGGAGCUAAUACCGGAUAAUAUAUUGAACCGCAUGGUUCAAUAGUGAAAGACGGUUUUGCUGUCACUUAUAGAUGGAUCCGCGCCGCAUUAGCUAGUUGGUAAGGUAACGGCUUACCAAGGCAACGAUGCGUAGCCGACCUGAGAGGGUGAUCGGCCACACUGGAACUGAGACACGGUCCAGGCUCCUACGGGAGGCAGCAGUAGGGAAUCUUCCGCAAUGGGCGAAAGCCUGACGGAGCAACGCCGCGUGAGUGAUGAAGGUCUUCGGAUCGUAAAACUCUGUUAUUAGGGAAGAACAAAUGUGUAAGUAACUAUGCACGUCUUGACGGUACCUAAUCAGAAAGCCACGGCUAACUACGUG
rnacentral:rRNA from 1 species